AUUGAACGCUGGCGGCAGGCUUAACACAUGCAAGUCGAGCGGAGAUGAGGUGCUCGCACCUUAUCUUAGCGGCGGACGGGUGAGUAAUGCUUAGGAAUCUGCCUAUUAGUGGGGGACAACAUUCCGAAAGGAAUGCUAAUACCGCAUACGUCCUACGGGAGAAAGCAGGGGAUCUUCGGACCUUGCGCUAAUAGAUGAGCCUAAGUCGGAUUAGCUAGUUGGGGGGGUAAAGGCCUACCAAGGCGACGAUCUGUAGCGGGUCUGAGAGGAUGAGCCGCCACGCUGGGACUGAGACACGGCCCAGACUGCUACGGGAGGCAGCAGUGGGGAAUAUUGGACAAUGGGGGAAACCCUGAUCCAGCCAGGCCGCGUGUGUGAAGAAGGCCUUAUGGUUGUAAAGCACUUUAAGCGAGGAGGAGGCUACUGAGACUAAUACUCUUGGAUAGUGGACGUUACUCGCAGAAUAAGCACCGGCUAACUCUGUGCCAGCAGCCGCCGUAAUAC
rnacentral:rRNA from 1 species